CGAAUCAAGGGAAGCGUGCCGGUGCAGGCAAGAGACCACCGUAAGCGUCGUUGCAACCAAUUAAGCGCCGAGAACACUCAGCGCGACUUCGCUCUCGCUGCCUAAGCGACAGCAAGUCCGUCAGACCGGGAACGCCCUCGACCCGGACCCUGGCGUCAUCAAGAGGGAUCAACCGAUGAGUUCGGUCGCGGGACUUAUCGGGACACUCACAGCGACUGGGAUCGUCAUCCUGGCUUGUUCGCGUGACCAGGAGAUCCGAGCAGAGGCAUAGCGGACUGCGCACGGAGAAGUCUUGAGGGAAUGCC
rnacentral:misc_RNA from 1 species